CGGGCGGGUGAGUAAUGCUUGGGAAUCUAGCUUAUGGAGGGGGGUAACUACGGGAAACUGUAGCUAAUACCGCGUAAUAUCGGAAGAUUAAAGUGUGGGACCUUCGGGCCACAUGCCAUAGGAUGAGCCCAAGUGGGAUUAGGUAGUUGGUGAGGUAAAGGCUCACCAAGCCGACGAUCUCUAGCUGGUCUGAGAGGAUGACCAGCCACACUGGGACUGAGACACGGCCCAG
rnacentral:rRNA from 1 species